rnacentral:rRNA from 1 species
GACGAACGCUGGCGGCGUGCCUAAUACAUGCAAGUAGAACGCACAGUUUAUACCGUAGCUUGCUACACCAUAGACUGUGAGUUGCGAACGGGUGAGUAACGCGUAGGUAACCUGCCUGGUAGCGGGGGAUAACUAUUGGAAACGAUAGCUAAUACCGCAUAAUAUUAAUUAUUGCAUGAUAAUUAAUUGAAAGGUGCAAUUGCACCACUACCAGAUGGACCUGCGUUGUAUUAGCUAGUAGGUGAGGUAACGGCUCACCUAGGCGACGAUACAUAGCCGACCUGGGAGGGUGAUCGGCCACACUGGGACUGGGACACGGCCCAGACUCCUACGGGAAGCAGCAGUAGGGAAUCUUCGGCAAUGGACGAAAGUCUGACCGAGCAACGCCGCGUGAGUGAAGAAGGUUUUCGGAUCGUAAAGCUCUGUUGUAAGAGAAGAACGGGUGUGAGAGUGGAAAGUUCACACUGUGACGGUAUCUUACCAGAAAGGGACGGCUAACUACGUG